rnacentral:rRNA from 1 species
GAUGAACGCUAGCGGCAGGCUUAAUACAUGCAAGUCGUGGGGCAGCAGGACUGUAGCAAUACAGUUGCUGGCGACCGGCAAGCGGGUGCGGAACACGUACGCAACUUACCCUGAACUGGGGGAUAGCCCGGGGAAACCCUGAUUAAUACCCCGUAAUAUCCUGGAGUGGCAUCACUUUAUUAUUAAAGCUCCGGCGGUUCGGGAUGGGCGUGCGGCUGAUUAGGUAGUUGGUUGAGGUAACGGCUCACCAAGCCUACGAUCAGUAACUGGUGUGAGAGCACGACCAGUGACACGGGAACUGAGACACGGGCCCGACUCCUACGGGAGGCAGCAGUAAGGAAUAGUAGGCAAUGGAGGCAAAUCUGACCCAGCCAUGCCGCGUGGAGGAUGAAGGCCCUCUGGGUUGUAAACUUCUUUUAUAGGGGAAGAAACCUGUGUAUUCUUACGAAGUUGACGGUACCCUAGGAAUAAGCACCGGCUAACUCCGUG